ACUGCACAGCGCCCCGGCUCCUCCCUCUCUCUGGGCUUCUGAACCAUCACAAGGGCAUGAAUACUAGCAGGAGAGAAAACACUGAACCUCUAAAAGAAAUGAUGACUUGCUCGAGGUUGUGGGGAUCACAGUGGAGUCUUGGACUGGCAUUCAGAUCUCCUGGAUCAUAGGGAAUGGCUCCUGGCAGUUACGUGGACCCACGGCAUCACAAGAGCAACUAUUUACUGGGCACCUGUUAUAGCCACUGGAAACAUGAUCACGGAUGGAAAAGACAAAAUUCCUGCCCUCAGGAAGCUAUGCUUUCAUCAGUGUGGCCACGGUAGACAGUAGAGAGGCACAGAGGACUGUGAGUAUUUGUGUGGAGAAGGCCUUAUUGAGCAGAUGGCAUUUGAGCAAAGACUUGAAGGAGGUGAGAAGGUGGGCCUAACGUCAUCGGCAGGAAGACCACUGCAGGCAGAGGGAACAGCAUGCUGGAGUGGAAGGACCUUAAACACGGAGACAAGGACACGGCAGUAAAGGAUGAUGUGGCCGAACCCCCC